GGAGGAAGAGAAACCAACAGGGAUUCCCUUAGUAACGGCGAGCGAAAAGGGAUGAGCCCAGCGCCGAAUCCCGCCUCCUCCGGGGGGUCGGGAAAUGUGGCGUUUGGGAGUGAGCGAACCGGUGGCGGUCCGUGCGGCAAGUCCCCCUGACCGGGGCUGUUUACCCGAAGUGGGUGCGAGGCCCAUAGCCGCUAGUUUGGCCCCGCCGGCUGCGAACUCCCUGGAGUCGGGUUGCUUGGGAGUGCAACCCUAAGUGGGUGGUAAACUCCACCUAAGGCUAAAUACCCCCGUGAGACCGAUAGCAAACAAGUACCGUGAGGGAAAGUUGCAAAGAACUUUGAAGAGAGAGUUCAAGAGUACGUGAAACUGUUCGGAGGUAAACAGGUGGGCCCUCGAAGUCCUGUGGCGGGAGGAUUCAGUCGGUGCGGUUCGGACUCUGCGUGGAAUGAUUAGCAGAAGGUUUCCCGUCCCGGGAGCCGAUUCCUUGCGCUGAGCUUCUGGACCUGCCUGACGCAUUUGUUUCCCGUCCGAAGGACGCCGCGACCGGUUGGAGAUCGGUCAUAAAGUAGGUCGAGGCAGUUGGCCGGCGGCUUCUCGCCCCUCGGGGUGAUGUCGAUCGCCGGAUGCUAGCCGGUCCUCCGAACGGCCCGAGAUCCGACCGUGGUGUCACGAGGCCCUUGACGGGCUCCUUCGCCUCCUCCUGGACCUUAUUCGUUUGGGAAGAUCGGAUGGGACGAUGGCAGCGGCACUCCCCACCGCGGCCGCACGGAUGUACUCCGUGGGCCGACGACGUUGGAGACCGCGUUCGCCGUCGCGAUUCCGUUGGAGCGCUGGCGGUUGGCGGCGAGUAGAUCGGUCACCCACCUGACCCGUCUUGAAACACGGACCAAGGAGUCUAACAUGUAUGCGAGUCAGUGGGGCUCGAACAAGCCUAGCGGCGCAAUGAAAGCAAAGGUCCUCCGGCCACCCCAGGUCGGGACCGCGUUGGGAUCCCUGCCCUCGUGGCGGUGGCGCACCAACGACCCGUCCUAUACUUCCUCAUAGUUUGGGCGGAGUCAGAGCAUACACGUUGGGACCCGAAAGAUGGUGAACUAUGCCCGGGCAGGACGAAGCCAGAGGAAACUCUGGUGGAGGUCCGUAGCGGUUCUGACGUGCAAAUCGAUCGUCAGAUCCGGGUCUAGGGGCGAAAGACUAAUCGAACCAUCUAGUAGCUGGUUCCCUCCGAAGUUUCCCUCAGGAUAGCUGGCGCUCGUUGAAUUCAGUCUCAUCCGGUAAAGCGAAUGAUUAGAGGCCUUGGGGCCGAAACGACCUCAACCUAUUCUCAAACUUUAAAUGGGUGAGAAGUCCGCCUUUCUUGGUUGAAGGCCGGGACGGUGGAUGAGAGUGCCCAGUGGGCCACUUUUGGUAAGCAGAACUGGCGCUGUGGGAUGAACCAAACGGCGGGUUACGGUGUCCGAUGCGAGACGCUCAUGGGACCCCAUGAAAGGUGUUGGUUGCUCUAGACAGCAGGACGAUGGCCAUGGAAGUCGGAAUUCGCUAAGGAGUGUGUAACAACUCACCUGCCGAAGCAACUAGCCCUGAAAAUGGAUGACGCUCGAGCGUCGAACCGAUACCCGCCCGCUUCGAGCAGUACUUCCCUCUCCCUUGUGGGUUGGGUCGAGGUUUAAGCCGAAGUGAGUAGGAGGGCCGCGACGGCGAGCGUUGAAGGUGCCGGGCGCAAGCCCGCCUGGAGCCGCCGUCGGUGCAGAUCUUGGUGGUAGUAGCAAAUACUCAAGUGAGAACCUUGAGGACUGAAGGUGGAGAAGGGUUCCAUGUGAACAGCAGUUGAACAUGGGUCAGUCGGUCCUAAGGGAUCGGAGAAAUCCGUUCCGAAGCGGGACAUUGACGAACUAGGAGCAAGUCCUGACACUGUGCUUGUCCCGCUGCAGACCGAAAGGGAAUGGGGUCAAUAUUCCCCAACCCGGACACGGAGAUAGGGCCCUCGGGCCCAAGUGCGGUAACGCAACCGAACUCGGAGACGUCGACGGAGGACCCGGGGAAGAGUUAUCUUUUCUUUGUAAGAGUUCGUGUCCCUGGAAUCGGCUCGUCCGGCGAUAGGGACGCUGUUCUCGUAAAAGCACCGCGGCUCUUGCGGUGUCCGGUGCGCCUCUGCCGGCCCUUGAAAAUCCGAGGGAGAGAGUGUAAUUUUCGUGCCGGUCCGUACCCAUAUCCGCAGCAGGUCUCCAAGGUGAACAGCCUCUAGUCGAUA
rnacentral:rRNA from 1 species